UCUCCGUAGGUGAACCUGCGGAGGGAUCAUUACAGAGUUCAUGCCCUAACGGGUAGAUCUCCCACCCUAUGUUAUCAUCACUUUGUUGCUUUGGCGGGCCGUCAGGCCUCGGCUUGGCUACCGGCUCUCGCUGGUAAGCGCCCGCCAGAGAACCACAAACCCUGAAUAUCAGUGUCGUCUGAGUACUAUAUAAUAGUUAAAACUUUCAACAACGGAUCUCUUGGUUCUG
rnacentral:misc_RNA from 1 species